UACGGAGGGUGCGAGCGUUGUCCGGAAUCACUGGGCGUAAAGGGCGCGUAGGCGGCCUGAUAAGUAGGGGGUGAAAUCCUGCGGCUUAACCGCAGGGCUGCCUUCUAAACUGUCAGGCUAGAGCACAGUAGAGGCAGGUGGAAUUCCCGGUGUAGCGGUGGAAUGCGUAGAGAUCGGGAAGAACAUCAGUGGCGAAGGCGACGUGCUGGGUUGCACCUGACGCUGAGAUGCGAAAGUGUGGGGAGCAAACGGG
rnacentral:rRNA from 1 species